GGGGGAGUAGCUCAGAUGGUAGAUCGCUCGCUGAGCAUGCGAGAGGUAGGGGGAUUGAUACCCCGCACCUCCU